rnacentral:ncRNA from 2 species
UGAACCCGUGCGGGAGAGACCCGGGCCGGCAGGUGGUACGGACCCGGGCGCCGUAGGAGCAACUCUCCCCAGAAUCUCUCAGGCCCCCUCACCGCACGGGCGAG